rnacentral:rRNA from 1 species
UACGUAGGGUGCGAGCGUUAAUCGGAAUUACUGGGCGUAAAGGGUGCGCAGGCGGCGUCGCAAGUCAGGCGUGAAAUCCCCGGGCUUAACCUGGGAACUGCACUUGAAACUACGAUGCUGGAGUAUGGCAGAGGGAGGUGGAAUUCCACGUGUAGCGGUGAAAUGCGUAGAGAUGUGGAGGAACACCGAUGGCGAAGGCAGCCUCCUGGGCCAAUACUGACGCUCAUGCACGAAAGCGUGGGGAGCAAACGGGAUUAGAACCUACGUCA